rnacentral:rRNA from 1 species
AUUGAACGCUGGCGGCAUGCUUUACACAUGCAAGUCGAACGGUAACAGGGAGUUUGCUCCGCUGACGAGUGGCGAACGGGUGAGUAAUGCGUCGGAACGUGCCGAGUAGUGGGGGAUAACGCAUCGAAAGGUGUGCUAAUACCGCAUACGUACUGAGGUAGAAAGUGGGGGACCUUCGGGCCUCACGCUAUUCGAGCGGCCGACGUCUGAUUAGAUAGUUGGUGAGGUAAAGGCUCACCAAGGCGACGAUAAGUAGCGGGUCUGAGAGGAUGGUCCGCCACACUGGGACUGAGACACGGCCCAGACUCCUACGGGAGGCAGCAGUGGGGAAUUUUGGACAAUGGGCGCAAGCCUGAUCCAGCCAUGCCGCGUGUCUGAAGAAGGCCUUCGGGUUGUAAAGGACUUUUGUCCGGGAGCAAAUGCCUAGUGUUAAUAGCACCGGAGCUGAGAGUACCGGAAGAAUAAGCACCGGCUAACUACGUGCCAGCCGCCGCGGUAACAC